UGGCACCGCCCGGCUGGGCGGGAAUUCCGCUCACGGAGGGAGCGGGAAGAGCUUCACCCUCUCCCGAGUACAACGUGGAAAGGUAUUACUCUGAUGCCCACUUUAGGUGGGGACUGACCUUGAUGACAGAGGAGGCUCUUGUCAUCCAAAUCAACACAAGAUUUGUCAUUUCUUGGUAUAUCAAAAUGAAGAAGAACUCACCUAAACAUUAGUUUUGUGUGAAGAUUUGCUGAGGAGUGAAAGAUAAAGCAGACUGGAGAGAGAAGAGAACCAUGGAAUGCUAUUUGUAUGAUGUCAGAAGAGCACCAGAUUUUACUGUUAUCUCUGAUGAAAUGCUGAAGGGCAAGUGCCUCUUGAAAGUCCUUUGAAGCAAAUUGAAUGGAUCCAUGUGCAGUUAUACUACAGAGAUACCAUUUAUAUAAACAGUGAUUGACUUCAGUGGUGAGCUCCUGGAGAUCUUCAUUUAGUGCUGACAGUCCCUGUGAGACUCAGGAGUAAGUACUUUUAGUGAAACAAAUACUUUUUGAAGGGAUUUGACUUCAAA